UACGGAGGGUGCAAGCGUUAUCCGGAUUCACUGGGUUUAAAGGGUGCGUAGGAGGGCAGGUAAGUCAGUGGUGAAAUCUCCGGGCUUAACCCGGAAACUGCCAUUGAUACUAUCUGUCUUGAAUACCGUGGAGGUGAGCGGAAUAUGUCAUGUAGCGGUGAAAUGCUUAGAUAUGACAUAGAACACCAAUUGCGAAGGCAGCUCACUACACGAAUAUUGACACUGAGGCACGAAAGCGUGGGGAUCAAACAGG
rnacentral:rRNA from 1 species